rnacentral:rRNA from 1 species
CUGGCUCUGAUUGAACGCUGGCGGCAUGCCUUACACAUGCAAGUCGAACGGCAGCACGGGCUUCGGCCUGGUGGCGAGUGGUGAACGGGUGAGUAAUACAUCGGAACAUGUCCUGUAGUGGGGGAUAGCCCGGCGAAAGCCGGAUUAAUACCGCAUACGAUCUGAGGAUGAAAGCGGGGGACCUUCGGGCCUCGCGCUAUAGGGUUGGCCGAUGGCUGAUUAGCUAGUUGGUGGGGUAAAGGCCUACCAAGGCGACGAUCAGUAGCUGGUCUGAGAGGACGACCAGCCACACUGGGACUGAGACACGGCCCAGACUCCUACGGGAGGCAGCAGUGGGGAAUUUUGGACAAUGGGCGCAAGCCUGAUCCAGCAAUGCCGCGUGUGUGAAGAAGGCCUUCGGGUUGUAAAGCACUUUUGUCCGGAAAGAAAUCAUUCUGGCUAAUACCCGGAGUGGAUGACG